ACCCUGGUGGUCCAGUGGUUAGGACUCUGCUCUUCCACUGCAGAGGGUCUAGGUUUGAUCCCUGGUCAGGGAA
rnacentral:tRNA from 1 species